rnacentral:rRNA from 1 species
GCUGGCGGCGUGCUUAACACAUGCAAGUCGCACGAGAACGCUUCAGCUUGCUGAAGUUAGUAAAGUGGCGCACGGGUGAGUAACGCGUGGGUAAUCUACCUCCGAAUUGGGGAUAACCCCGCGAAAGCGGGGCUAAUACCGAAUGACAUUUUUAAAACUCAAGUUUUAGAGAUCAAAGGUGGCCUCUACUUGUAAGCUACUGUUUGGGGAUGAGCCCGCGUACCAUUAGCUAGUUGGUAGGGUAAGAGCCUACCAAGGCAACGAUGGUUAGCUGGUCUGAGAGGAUGAUCAGCCACACUGGAACUGACACACGGUCCAGACUCCUACGGGAGGCAGCAGUGAGGAAUUUUGCGCAAUGGGGGAAACCCUGACGCA